CGUAGGUGGCGAGCGUUGUCCGGAAUUAUUGGGCGUAAAGGGAGCGCAGGCGGGAGGUCAAGUCUAUCUUAAAAGUGCGGGGCUCAACCCCGUGAGGGGAUGGAAACUGGUCUUCUUGAGUGCAGGAGAGGAAAGCGGAAUUCCUAGUGUAGCGGUGAAAUGCGUAGAUAUUAGGAGGAACACCAGUGGCGAAGGCGCUUUCUGGACUGUAACUGACGCUGAGGCUCGAAAGCGUGGGGAGCGA
rnacentral:rRNA from 1 species